UACGAAGGGGGCUAGCGUUGCUCGGAAUCACUGGGCGUAAAGGGUGCGUAGGCGGCGCGGUAAGUCGGGUGUGAAAUCUUGGAGCUUAACUCCGAAACUGCAUUCGAUACUGCCGUGCUUGAGGACUGGAGAGGAGACUGGAAUUUACGGUGUAGCGGUGAAAUGCGUAGAUAUCGUAAGGAAGACCAGUGGCGAAGGCGGGUCUCUGGACAGUUCCUGACGCUGAAGCACGAAGGCCAGGGGAGCAAACGGG
rnacentral:rRNA from 1 species